rnacentral:rRNA from 1 species
GCCGACGGUAAUACGUAGGUGGCAAGCGUUGUCCGGGAAUUAUUGGGCGUAAAGCGCGCGCAGGCGGCUUCUUAAGUCCAUCUUAAAAAGUGCGGGGCUUAACCCCGUGAUGGGAUGGAAACUGAGAGGCUGGAGUAUCGGAGAGGAAAGUGGAAUUCCUAGUGUAGCGGUGAAAUGCGUAGAGAUUAGGAAGAACACCGGUGGCGAAGGCGACUUUCUGGACGACAACUGACGCUGAGGCGCGAAAGCGUGGGGAGCAA